rnacentral:rRNA from 1 species
AUGGCCACCAGGGUUGAUUUGCUUUUGCAGAGGUACUGUGCAGCUUCUGGACAACGCAUAAACAAGUAGAAGUCCUCUAUUUUCUUUAGCAAGGGCUGCCCUGAGAACUUGAGGGAAGAGGUCAAAGUGGUGCUUGAUGUUUAGAAUGAGAAACUGUCCGAAAAGUAUCUUGGGCUCCCUUCUGAUGUGGGGCGAGCUAAGGAGGGCUCCUUCAAAUUCCUUAAGGAUAAAAUCUGGAAACAAGUGCAGGGAUGGAUGGAAAAAACUCUUUCAGUGGGGGGUAAGGAGGUUCUUAUUAAGUCGGUGGCCCAAGCUAUCCCAACAUACUCUACGGCAUGUUUCAAACUGCCACGGGGUUUGUGCCAACAUAUAAACGGCCUGCUUCGGAAAUUCUGGUGGGGUUCUAAAAAGGGAGAAAGGAAGGCAGCCUAG